GAAGAGAGCCCGCAUGGUAAGGGAUGAUAUUUGACAUUAUUUAUGGAUAUAGCAUAACUAUUCUUAUUCUAAUAUUCAACAUUAAUUUUACAGAUGAAGAGAAGCCUUAAGAUUGCUGCUUGCUAGGGAAAGAAUAAGUGAAGAGAAGCUGAACCAGAUCUUAAAAGACAUGCUUGAAGUUUUUUUUUUCCAAUAAAAAGAGAAGCAACAUCACAAAGACUACUUAUUGGGGCAAAAUUAAUAUUGGGAAGAAGAAUAAUCCAUGGGAAAAUGCUAUGUAGAUGCUCCUAAGAUAGAGAUAUAUGAGUCUUAUAACUAAGUUAAUAUCUUGGUUACUAAUUAUAGCGAAGCACGUUUAUUUAGAUUCUUAUUAGGUUUAUUAUUUUCUUGGAACUUUCUAUGGACAAAGAAUUGAAUAUGUCAAGUGAAUUGUGUUUAUUGUACAUAAACUUUAACAUAUAAUAAAUCAAUAAAUGAUUCAAUUUUAACAGUACAUGUAUUUAUAUCAAUGAGAAUUUCAAGGAUCCUAUAAAUAUCAAUUUGUAUAUUUGAAACCCUAGUGUUCAAUAAAUUUGAAUAAUAUUAAUUUAUUAA
rnacentral:lncRNA from 1 species